UCCUAUCAUUGAUCUAGAUUGCAAAUUACAAAACACUUAUGGGGUUUUUGUUAAUUUUAAUAAUAGUUCUGCUUCAAACAUGCUUCAAAAGGUCAUUAUUUUUAAAAAAAACAAUAGCAGCGUCAUUGUAAUAAAAACCAGCAAACAGGUAGUAUGGGUCUGAAGUAUUGUUAUUUAAAAUAAAAAUAAGCAAUAUAAUAACAAAUGGAAGCAGAAUUUGCCAAGCAUUGGAUUGUUCACCCACUAAUAGGGAAUGUGAGCUGGGUUUAGACUGUUGUGAGACAGGUUAGUUUUACCCUACUGAUGGUAAACAUAGUUAACAGACAUUUCAUCAUCAUAGUAAUCCAACUCAGUAUGAGAGGAACAGUUGAUUCAGAUAAUUGGUAUUUUCCCUUGGCUGAAAGGCCAGUGGGGAGAACCUACCAUCUGUAGGAUUAUGGCUGAACGCCUCUAAGCCAGAAUCUGUGCUAGCAUAACAAUGAUAUGUGCCCCUGCUGACUCUAAGUGAGCAACAAUAGGUCACUAUUCACUUAGUGACUGUGCACCAUAGAAUCUGGGUAGUGGAAUGUGCAGGCAGUGAGUCAUCUCCACCCAGCCACAAGCUGAACAUGUUGACAUAUCAUCCACAGAUGGAUGGUCUGGUGGAGAGGUUUAAUUUGAUGCUGCAAGGCAUGCUCAGCAUGUACAUCACUGAUAACCAGCAUGACUGGGACACCUACUUGCCCUAUG
rnacentral:rRNA from 1 species